GGGGAUUUAGCUCAGUGGAAGAGCGCUUGCCUAGCGAGCACAAGGCCCUGGGUUCAGUCCCCAGCUCCG
rfam:Rattus norvegicus chromosome 15, whole genome shotgun sequence.